rnacentral:rRNA from 1 species
UACGUAGGGUGCGAGCGUUGUCCGGAAUUAUUGGGCGUAAGAGCUCGUAGGCGGUCUGUCGCGUCGAUCGUGAAAACUUGGGGCUUAACCCUGAGCUUGCGGUCGAUACGGGCAUGACUGGAGUUCGGCAGGGGAGACUGGAAUUCCUGGUGUAGCGGUGAAAUGCGCAGAUAUCAGGAGGAACACCGGUGGCGAAGGCGGGUCUCUGGGCCGAUACUGACGCUGAGGAGCGAAAGCGUGGGGAGCGAACAGG